rnacentral:rRNA from 1 species
GAUGAACGCUGGCGGCGUGCCUAAUACAUGCAAGUCGAACGCAUUGUGGUUGAAAUGAUAUGAAGAACUUGUUCAGAUUUGAUUUUCAACAUUGCAAUGAGUGGCGAACGGGUGAGUAACACGUGGGAAACCUACCUCUUAGCAGGGGAUAACAUUUGGAAACAAAUGCUAAUACCGUAUAAUAAUUAAAACCGCAUGGUUUUAGUUUAAAAGAUGGUCUUGCUAUCACUAAGAGAUGGUCCCGCGGUGUAUUAGUUAGUUGGUGAGGUAAUGGCUCACCAAGACAAUGAUACAUAGCCGAGUUGAGAGACUGACCGGCCACAAUGGGACUGAGACACGGCCCAUACUCCUACGGGAGGCAGCAGUAGGGAAUCUUCCACAAUGGACGAAAGUCUGAUGGAGCAACGCCGCGUGUGUGAUGAAGGGUUUCGGCUACGUAAAACACUUGUUGUAAAGAGAAGAAUGACAUUGAGAGUAACUGUUACAAUGU